rnacentral:rRNA from 1 species
UCUGAUGUUAGCGGCGGACGGGUGAGUAACACGUGGAUAACCUACCUAUAAGACUGGGAUAACUUCGGGAAACCGGAGCUAAUACCGGAUAAUAUUUUGAACCGCAUGGUUCAAAAGUGAAAGACGGUCUUGCUGUCACUUAUAGAUGGAUCCGCGCUGCAUUAGCUAGUUGGUAAGGUAACGGCUUACCAAGGCAACGAUGCAUAGCCGACCUGAGAGGGUGAUCGGCCACACUGGAACUGAGACACGGUCCAGACUCCUACGGGAGGCAGCAGUAGGGAAUCUUCCGCAAUGGGCGAAAGC